rnacentral:lncRNA from 1 species
UGGGGGUGGUGGUGAUUUCUCAGGCGGUGGAGGAGACUCAUAGUAGUAAGGCGGAGGUGGAGACUUUUCGGGCGGUGGAGGAGACUUGUAAUAAUAAGGUGGUGGUGGAGAUUUUUCGGGUGGGGGAGGUGACUUGUACUCAUAAGGUGGUGGAGGAUAUUUUUCGGGUGGUGGAGGUGACUUGUACUCGUAAGGUGGUGGUGGAGAUUUUUCGGGUGGUGGAGGUGACUUGUACUCGUAAGGUGGUGGCGGAGAUUUUUCGGGUGGUGGAGGUGACUUGUACUCGUAAGGUGGUGGCGGAGAUUUUUCGGGUGGUGGAGGUGACUUGUACUCAUAAGGUGGUGGUGGAGAUUUUUCGGGUGGUGGAGGUGACUUGUACUCAUAAGGUGGAGAUUUUUCAGGUGGUGGUGGUGACUUAUACUCAUAAGGUGGAGAUUUUUCAGGUGGUGGUGGUGAUUUAUAUUCAUAAGGUGGGGGUGGUGGAGAAGCAUAAGAGUAGGCAUCAGCAGAUACUGAAACUACAUUACUUGAAACAACAACUAUAAUGGCCAGCAAUGCCACUACAAAAUGGGGCCAAAACUGACCCGGAGGCGGGUUUCCGCCCGGAAUCGCCAUGAUU